rnacentral:rRNA from 1 species
GUGACAGCAGCCGCGGUAAAACGUAGGAGACGAGCGUUAUCCGGAUUUACUGGGUGUAGAGCGCGUGUAGGCGGCUCGAUAAGUUGGAUGUGAAAGCUCCUGGCUCAACUGGGAGAGGUCGUUCAAGACUGUCGGGCUUGAGGAUGGUAGGGGAAGGUGGAAUUCCGAGUGUAGUGGUGAAAUGCGUAGAUAUCCGGAGGAACACCAGUGGCGAAGGCGGCCUUCUGGACCAUUACUGACGCUCAGACGCGAAAGCUAGGGUAGCAAACGGGAUUAGAAACCCCGGUAGUCC